CGACCCUGGACGCGUUACAUAAACUUUGUUGCCUCAUCUCUGACCCGGAACAAUAAAUCUCUCUCCGGGGCGCGUGUGAAAACUAAAUGAGUUUGCACAGCUAAUGUGCCGUAGUGCAGCCGGGCACAGUGACGUGAAGCUCUGAGUAUACUGUAAGUUGCCAAAUUUCAGAAAAAAGUCAGGGCCCUAGAGCCCAUCUGGUUGACGCCCCCCUUUCUUCAUUUACAGAUGGGACCAAGGCCCCGGGAGGGAAGUCACUUACCAGAGUGCGUGGGUUCUUCAUCCAGAACUCAAGUCUUCUGACUCUUGGGGUACGUGCCGUAGCAUAAGAAUAAUGACAUACAAGGCCUUGGAGCAGAUGCUGUGCUCCAGCUGUGUCCCCUGACCUGUCAUUUCCUGCUGCUUCCUCACAUUUUAGAUGAGAUUCUAGAUAGGAAUUACUUCCUGAGGACAGUUUUUUUCCGUAUCAUUUACUCCCCUCCAGAUAUUUUUUAAAAACCAAGAUGAGCUUAACACUCAGAGGACUUGAAAAAAGAGAGGCACUCAUCCGCCGGCCAGCUCUUUGCUCAGGACAGGAGGUGGGUGGAGAAGACUUG
rnacentral:lncRNA from 1 species